UCCUUCUCUCCGUUUAACCGUGAAACCGCCCAGGGGUAAACGGGUAGGACCGCUCACCGCGGUCGCGAGGGGACUCAGUCCGCUGCUUCACGCCGAGGCGCCGUCGUCGUCGACGAACGCGCCGGUGGCGGCCGCUC